rnacentral:rRNA from 1 species
GAUGAACGCUGGCGGCGUGCCUAAUACAUGCAAGUCGAGCGAACAGACGAGGAGCUUGCUCCUCUGACGUUAGCGGCGGACGGGUGAGUAACACGUGGAUAACCUACCUAUAAGACUGGGAUAACUUCGGGAAACCGGAGCUAAUACCGGAUAAUAUAUUGAACCGCAUGGUUCAAUAGUGAAAGACGGUUUUGCUGUCACUUAUAGAUGGAUCCGCGCCGCAUUAGCUAGUUGGUAAGGUAACGGCUUACCAAGGCAACGAUGCGUAGCCGACCUGAGAGGGUGAUCGGCCACACUGGAACUGAGACACGGUCCAGACUCCUACGGGAGGCAGCAGUAGGGAAUCUUCCGCAAUGGGCGAAAGCCUGACGGAGCAACGCCGCGUGAGUGAUGAAGGUCUUCGGAUCGUAAAACUCUGUUAUUCGGGAAGAACAAAUGUGUAAGUAACUAUGAACGUCUUGACGGUACCUAAUCAGAAAGCCACGGCUAACUACGUG